rnacentral:rRNA from 1 species
GACGAACGCUGGCGGCGUGCUUAACACAUGCAAGUCGAGCGGAAAGGCCCUUUCGGGGGUACUCGAGCGGCGAACGGGUGAGUAACACGUGAGUAAUCUGCCCUUGGCUUUGGGAAACCUCCGGAAACGGUGGCUAAUACCGGAUACGACCACUCCCGGCAUCGGGUGGUGGUGGAAAGUUUUUUCGGCCAGGGAUGUGCUCGCGGCCUAUCAGCUUGUUGGUGGGGUAAUGGCCUACCAAGGCUUCGACGGGUAGCCGGCCUGAGAGGGUGAACGGCCACACUGGGACUGAGACACGGCCCAGACUCCUACGGGAGGCAGCAGUGGGGAAUAUUGGGCAAUGGGCGGAAGCCUGAUCCAGCAACGCCGCGUGAGGGAUGACGGCCUUCGGGUUGUAACCCUCUUUCAGUACCGACGAAGCGCCGAUGAUGGCGGUGACGGUAGGUACAGAAGAAGCACCGGCCAACUACGUGCCAGCAGCCGCCGUAA